rnacentral:lncRNA from 1 species
AUGCCUGCCGGGGGCAGGGCCCCGCGAAGGGGGACGAGGUCCGUGCGGCAGGGGGCGCUCCAGCCCCUCCUGGCGAGGAGGGAACCCGAGGGGGCGCUGCCUGCCCUGGGCUUCCUUCUCCAGGCCGCGCCCCCUCCUCGCCCUCCACGCCUGCUGUGGGCGCUGAGCCCUGAGAGGUACGCGGCCGUGGAGGCCAAGAGGGCAGCCGUAAGGGCACAGGAGGCCGGCGAGGCCAGGCCCGCCCCCUCCCUCCUCUGGGCAAAGGCUCUUUCCCGCCUUGGGAAAGCCAAAGCCAGGCCCGGGAAGAGGCCUCCCCCGGCGCGGCCCCAGAGGCAGGGCCCCCUCCAGCCCCUCCUGGCCAAACCACCGCCCGAGGGGCCACUGCCCUGCCUUGGGAGGGAAGGGAUGGAGGCGGCCCCCAUCGCCGCCCUUCAGCAGAGGGCAAAGAGGCCCCUGAGGCAGCAGGGUUCGCUCCGUCCUCUGCUAGGGAGGCGCUGCCCGCCCUGGGCCUCCUGCUUUUCCAUCCCAUACCCCUCCUCGCCAGCUAGCCAGCCCGCCCGUGUGCAACAUCCAGGGCCCCACAGAGGAGGAGGAGGACGAAGAACAUCUCUGCUUCCUGAUCCUGCCCUCCUGGGUGCCCAGCCUGGCCCUGACACUCUCUCUCAGCCUCAGAGUGUCCCCAAAGCCCCCUACCCAUCACAAUCCCCCCUCACGACCACGCACCCCUCCCCCCAUCUUUGCCUCCAAUAUCCUUCCCUCCAGGGAGCAGCCCAGCUUUCUUUCCUGGAGGAUGGACUGGGUGGAUCUUCUUGUGCUCCAAGGCACUCUCAGGAUUUUCCUCUAGCACCAGAGUUCAAAUGCAUCUCUCUUCCUUCGCUCAGCCCUUCUUAUGGUCCAGCUCUCGCAUCCAUAGGUUACUACGGGGAAUACCACUGUUUUCACUAUGCGACCUUCGUUGCCAGUGUGAUGUCUCUGCUCUUCACUGUUUUAUCACUGUUUUAUCCUUGCUCUUCUCCCAAGAAGAAAAAGUCUUCUGAUUUCCUGGCUGCAGUCUGCAUCUGCAGUGAUCUUCACGCCUAG